CUUUUUUCAGCCAUCGUGGCCAAGGCACAAUUGGUGGAGAUGAACCUUUACAUUUUUCCUCCAGCAAUGGAGAACCUUAGGCCUCUAGUUUCACAUCAUAGACUAGCACCCAUUGUACCUGUUCAAUAGAACAAGAGACCUAAGCCAAUGACUUAGGCUCAUUCACAGAUUCUGGUAGCAGGACGCAGUAGGACUUGCCAGCACUGUGGUAAGGAUUAUGGGGACCGACCCUGCUAUCACCUCAACAAUACUUG
rnacentral:lncRNA from 1 species